GUCUGAAACAAGACCAAAAAAAAAAAAAGGUCAGCCUCAUUCACACGCCCUGAAACAAUGCAAUGAACUUGCUGUGCAUGUGUGGUUUGGCCAAAAGCUUACAAGACAACACCUCAUUAUCUACCUUACACACAAAGCACGCACACACACCCACACCUGCCACUGACUACUUGAAGAUUAUAUUCUAGGAAAUCAAAGUGCUCGAGGUUUUAAUCGUCUCCUUUCUGACAUAGAGGUGAGCUGCAGAAUUCACUCUAUACAUCCAACAGGGUUAUUAUUUCAAUAGUCUGGUUCAGUGUUGUGAUAAAUCUAUUGAUCUGCUGUAGGCUAGUCCUGCAGUGCUCUGAAACCCUCCACCUCCCCCAGCUCCACCUGCCUAAAUCUGUUACGAGAUUUAUGUAUGUUUAUUCAUGCAGCAGCAGCAUAACAGAUCUAGUCCUCCAAGCCCAAAUACAUUAACACUGCCAUUUUAAUUAACAUGCUUAAACUAUUUUGAGAGUUGUCAUUAUUGAACUGAAUAUAAAAUCUUUUCUCACAAGUAAAUAUUUCUCAUUUCAAGUUGGAGUACUAAAACAUAAUAAAAAAUAAAAAUGAGAAAAACACAACAAAAUUACUAAAGCUUUAACUAAAAUUAAAACAAAAACAGAAAAUAUCAAAAUAAAAUCUAAUUCAAAUUAUUAACAAAAACUAUAAUAACUUUUAUGAUACUAAAAUAAUAUUGAUGUCCAACACCCCUUUGUAAAAUACAAGCUGACGCUCUGUCUACAUUUUACGAGUGCACACGGGCACGAGUGUGCUUGCGUACGGGUGAUCGGUAUCAGUGAGCAUCUCUCUAAUUGUGUUAUUGAGGCUUUUCAACUCUAAUUCCGUUUGCAUUCCUCCUUAUCGGCAAUGAAGAUGGCUGCUCUAUUUCUUUCAUGUACACAGUCUGUAUGGCCUGCGACAAUGGCGGUAGAUUUAUCACAAGCCUUAUCGCCAUGACUGAACACCACCGAGAGGGCACUGUUAUCAGGACAGCAGUCUCUCACAGACACACACACACACACACACACACACACACACAUUGCAGACGUUCCACUGUCUGCCUUCAGUCUGUGUGGACAUUGAUCAACCUAGUGCAAUGGCUAUAGGUGGCAGACUAGUAUUUUAGACUUAUUUGUAGCUCGUACAAAUUACUGCACCAGGCCUCCAGUUCAUCUAAACCGAUUUUGCCCUACAAUCCCAUUAGCACGGCAACCACAUGUAACCAAAAUAUCUUUAAAAUACUUCUCACGCUAUCCCCCAUAUCAUCUGUCUCCAGACAUAAUGGGCGUCACUUCACACACACAAGCAGUGCUUGCUGGGAAGGCUGUGUAUUUGUACGUGUUUGCUUUGGUCUGUGUGUGGCAUGAUAAAUUACUUCACUUCAGUCACGAGACAGAGACCGUGUCAAACAACAAUCACUAAGUUCGUCAUCUCAAAGGCAAAGUAAAAAAACAGCAUCUUUAAAAGACCCAAUUAUGACGUCAUGCACUUUAGAUUCUGUGAUUCCUAAAAAGACCCAUUGCAUAACGUAAGAAAACAGAACUAAAACAAAGCAAAAACACACAUACACAACAGCUAGACGUCAAAUGGUCUAUUUAAACGUAGGUGUGUUUCCUGUGUGUUUCAGUUACUAUGAAUUACUUGCAGUGUGAAUUACACAGCAAGGUUAUGUAACAGAUGAACUUUAUCACAUUAGCUUUGUUCCAAAAAUUAACAGUUUGCUUUCUACAUAGGCAGUUCUUUAUGUGCAUCUAUGGCUCCAUGAAGAACCUUUAAAAUCCAUGGAACCUCUUCAUUCCACAAAAGGUUUUUUUUUUUUUUUUUAUAGAGGAAAAGGGUUGAAAUGUUCUUCACAUUAAGGAAAAGAAUCACCGAAAAGUUUUUAGGGAACCAAAAAUGGUUCUUCUAUGGCAUUGCUAAGGCUAUGUCCACACUAGUGUGUUUUCGUUUUAACAUGGUGUUUUAAAAAGAAAACAAUAGUUUCCACUGCAUUUCAGAAAAGAUCGCCGUCCACACUAUACAUCCAAAAACACAUGUCACAUGACCAUUCACACUUGGCAUGCCAAUUGCUCUAAUAAUAGCUUGCCUCUUGUAGGUAGCUGCAGUAUUAUAAAAUGCAGAGUUUAACUGUGCAAUGGCUGCUAAAAAGGACAAUAAAGUCAGCAAAGCUUGAAGUUCUGUCUCCACGUUAUUGUGUACACGGUCAUUGAGGCUGGUCUGUCGUCUUCCAGUAGCAUAAUGGUCAUAUGAUAGGGGCUUGGCGAAUCAGGGAAGGAUACGCAAUGAUCCAGAAGAGAAGACCCAAUCAGGGAGUGAAUGUGGGCAGCUAUGCAUUCGUUUUCAAGUGUCUCCGUUUUGGUCCAUCACUGAAACGCAACCCCGGAGUUUUCAAUCUAAAAUGGGGUCGGCUGCAUUUCCAAAAGUCUCAGUUUUCAAGGGUCAAAAACUCAGAAGUAGUGUGGACUCCAAUAGCAAAAGUAAUGCGUUUUAAAACAAAAACGCACUAGUGUAAAUACUGCCUAAGAACACCCUCUUUUGGAACCUUUAUUUUCAAGAAUGAACAGUGAUGGAACAUGGAAGUGGCUGAUUCGUAGCACUACAUGAACAGACAUAAAUAAAAACAGCCCUCUGCAAGAAAGACUUGACUGACUCCAUUUUUAUCAACUAUUCUUAAUACUUGUCAUUGUCGCAAUGCAUUCUGCGAUUGCAUUCUCCACAAAGAAGCAUUUGAAUUUUAAUAAAACAAUUUAAAUAUGAUGCUUUAAAAUGCAGCCUCUGCAGGCAGUUAAUUUGGUAUUAAAACAGAGUAAAUGAAUGGCUCUUGAUAAUCGUGGGAGUGCAGAAUCUGUGCUUCAAAGCUGUAAGCUGAGUGUAUUCUUCUGGUCAAGAUCUGGCUCUGGAAAAUACGCUGAAUUUUACACUCCUCUGCAUUAGUCAUAUAGAGAACUCUCUACAACUCAGUUUAAUAAUAACUCAAGUCAAACAUGCCCCUUAUGGUCGAGCAUGUUCAGACAUGCUCUCUCUUACACCCCGAGCAAGAAUUUUAUUAUGACAAAACAUCUUCACAUGCUCUUUAAAUGACUCAUAAAAAUAAACACCUAGGCUCAUAGUCAGGGUUGUCACGAUCAUGACAUAUUUGUUUGCAUUUAAUUAUACAAACUAUUUUAAUAUAUAAUGUGUCUGUUGCAUUGAUAUUACUUGCAUUGUAAUGUUUAUACACAUAUCUUUAUUUAUUUAUUUAUUUAUUUACACUGGGAAAUAAUAAAAUUAAGUUUUUAAGAAAAUACAGCAAAAUAACAUGAUCGUUAGACACAAAUGGACGGAAUAUGUGAAUAUGGACAACAGUAAGACUGUGAAACAUCAUAUAGUGUGGUCCUCUAGUGUGGUGGGGGUGUUUAUUAGGGAAUGAAAACACAUGCUUGCCCCAGAUUCUGCUUGGUUUAUUGGUAAAUAAUGAAUGGAGUUGGCAUAAUGUCAUGGGCUUGACAUGGUAAUAACUAAAGUCAAGGUCAAGAGAGGGACAUAAUUCUAACACAUUCUCAAAUUGUAAUCUGCAUCAAGAGCACAAAAAUUUACAUAUUUUCUCCCACAAACAGCAUGAAAAAACAUGUGCAUAUUACGUGUAGGCCUGGUCAUUUGCCAACUAUACAUAUAUACACUUGUGUAUAAACAUAGCUUGCUUCAUCCACAGCAGGAAAUCACACGUUUUCCCACGCAGAAUCAGCACCUCUGUCUGCACAGCAAACAUAAUUCUGCACAGCCCGGCACUGAUAAGAAGUGGCUCCAUACAGCCAUGCAUGCGCUCUACAAAAGGCAGGGUUUUCCUACAGAUUCCCCUUUGAUAGUGUGUUUUUAUCUAAUGCCUCACAUGAUGCCUUUGGAGCGUUAGGUCACAUGGCUGGGUUAUUGCACACCAGUGCACAGAUUAUAGAGCUAGAACAGGCUCUGAGUUCUCAAGCCCUAGUUCGGAUCGGAUCAAUACAGUGGGACUGACAGCUUCAUCUGGGUUACCAGCUUGUUUAAGCCUUGUUUUAUUUAAAGGUUUGGCCCCAUGCUUCUGUCAUGAUGUCACAAUGAGUGAGUGUCCCCAUCAUAUCAGUAAUAGUCCCGAGCUCUCAAACAGCUCUCAGAUUAAAUGAGAGCGGUAUCCUCCCCCACCACGUAAACACACACAGAUGGGAGGCCAUUAUUGCUGCUAGUCUUCCGUUCGUGUGUAAUCUGUCCGAAAACUGGACGAAAAGCUAUGUUAGCAUGACAUUAAAGAGAUGUACCAACCUAAAAGCAACAUACACUCGUGCUGGGAAUAAAAGCAACCUUUAAAUGUGGGCAGAGAGUGAGGGAGGGAGAAGGAGAGAUGGUUACAAAUGUAAAGUUAGAAGGUGGGGGUAGUCAGGAUGGAGAGAAUGAAAAUGAGAUGAAUAAAGAGGUGGGAGGAAGAGAGAGAUAGUGGUGGAAAUACAGUACAGACAGACACUGUGACGGCACUCUAUGUAAACACGCUCGCAAACAAAGAAGCCUUUGAGCUGUGCAUGGGGUGAACCAAUGACAGCUUACUGUAUGACACACAAAGGGGGGUGGGUGUGCAAAAAUACAUUUUUUCAAAAUCAACUAGUGGGUGGGUUGCGUAAAUAUCUACUUGACUGACUAGUAGUCAAGAUCAACAGAGCACAACAUAAUGGAAUGGGUUGCAAGGGUUUCAGGAAGGAUUUUUAAAAGUUGGACUAUUUUUAACUUUUUGCAAUUCUUGUGGUGGGAUACUCAAAAAACUGUGCGAGAUGCAUUGCAAUGGCCAAAAUCAACCUUCUGUACAUGUAAGGUUGUUGCAAAGUUAUUUUAAAUGAGAUUAAUUUAAAGACACAACUUUUCUAUUAACUAUUAAAGGUUUAGUUCACCCAAAAAUGAAAAUUCUGUCAUUAAUUCCACACCCACAAGACAUCUUCAGAACACAAAUUAAGAUAUUUUUGAUGAAAUCUGAGAGCUCUAUGACUCCUCAAUAGACAGCAAUUUAACAACCACUGUCAAGGUCCAGAAAGGUACUAAAGACAUUGUUAAAAUAGUCCACGUGACUACAGUGGUUCAACCAUAAUUUUAUAAAGCGUCGAGAAUACUAAAAAUAAAAAUAACAACUUUAUUCAACAAUAUCUUCUCUUCCGUGUCAUUCUUUUACGCUCUUUACGUUCAGCGCUUCCAGGUUCCACGUCAGAACAUCGGCUCAGUAUUGGCAGACGCUGUUUGAAUUAAUUAAUGACAGAAUUUUCAUUUUUGGGUGAACUAUCCCUUUAACAAACUGUCUAAUAAACUAAGGCAAAGCAGGCUAAUUACAGAACUAUCACUAAAAACAUAAAAACAAUAAACAAAUGAAAUACAUGGAUAAACUAGUCAUACUUCCAAUCAUCUAGUCGGUUGUUGAGCAACUAGCUGAACAUUGGGACCUAUCUCUAUUAGGGGGAGACAGAAUGAUACUUACAUUAGGCCGAGUAUAUACCGCUGUUGCACCCCGAUUAAACACAUGUACAUAAACACACUACUGGCAGAGUGAUGGCUACAGACCAUAGGGAAAUAAAGAAGCACAUACAAACUCAGACAGUAACAGCUGUGGAGGAGCAAGGCCCGCUCUGGCCCAUCAGUAACACAUGGAUUAGUUCACACGUGCUGAGCUGUAAUCUGCUCCACACAGCCCAGACCAGCAGACCCCACUCACAUGAGUUUGUGUGUAGUCAUGUGAUUGCUUCCCCCAUCCCUAAAGCUCCUGCAGAUGGCCAUGUGCAUGACAAACACAGAUUCUCUAUUAUACGGCUCUCUAUUACGUGUAUUUCAAUUGGCAAGAACAUUGUGGACACUUUGGGUAAUCUAAUAAACGUGAGGUGAUCCCAAAAACAAACGGGACGAAAUCAGAAAACAGAAACGUCACCAGAUGUUUGGAUGACACCACUCUCUCUCUCUCAGAAAAUCCACUCAAUCCACUUUACUUCCACAGAAGGAUGCCUAAUCCAAACACAAAAAAUAAACACAGCGGUGGUGGAAGGGCAAACAGCCAUAGGACUCUUCCGUAAUCAGAUCAAAGGCCAUGACACACAAAGAAAGGGUGCAGAUCAAUGUGGCUGGUUAUGAUUGGAUGACCUUCAGGGGCUCCACCAAUUGGAUGGGUGGAUAGUGUGGCUUUGUCCAACUUGCCAUGAUGAUUCCAUAGGCCAAGCAGAACUCAAUAUAUGACACUCUGUGGCAGGCCCCAGGGCCACAACCAUCAUAAACAUUGAGGAGGAUUGAGGAGGACACAUCACCCCAAUAUUUCAAUAAGUAGUUUGCCCAAUAAUGGGUUUUUCAUUCGCCAGUUGUUAAGCAAUUACAUUUGUUCCCUGUCCCAAUCUUGGGUGUUUGGUUACAACCUUGACAGGUUUGCAAAUGGUCAUACUUUGACACAAAUGUAUAAACAAACCAUAAAAACUUCAUUAUCAGGUUUUAAGGGUGUUGCUGAUGACAUCCAACUGAUUAUGCCACUUAGGAAUGUUACUUGCUUUUAGAUUUCAGCCUGUAAUUCAAGAAUUUGCUUGUUUUAGUAAGGAGGAGUCUAAAAAUGUUGGGUGUUGUUGUAUAGCAAGGUUCACGGUGCCAUCAAGGAUGUGGGUCUGUUUGUGUGUUGUUUCUGCAACAUUACCCACCAGUAGCCAUGCGUGUUGUAUUUUAAGGGACAUUGGGUAUCUUUAUGCAAUGAAACACAGUGUUCUUUUACAGAACACAGUAAAUGUGGGGCAAGGCAGAGCAUUAGUGGCCUCCGAAUCUCAACUGUCCUCUGCUAUACCCUUCCAACAGAACUUGAAGACUGCCACAGGGUGUGUGUCCUUCCUGACUCACCCAAAACACCCAGAGCUUUGUCAACCUUCCAUAGCAUGAGUGUGCGUCUACGCGUGCGUUGCGAACAUGCCCUGGCACGUGUACGAGUCUGCAUUGCUUACUUGACCAAAGAUCACACUUCCUAAGCUGCUUUUCCUGGCCAAGAAAAGCUUACAAGGCAUCAGGUCAGCGAGAACAGCCAGUUCUGGCUUCCCUUCCAGAGGGUUUCCGGAAUUCCCAGGGGAAGCAGAAUGUUCUGACUCCAGCUUCCUCUGAACUGCCUUAGAACACAGGGAGGACAACACAUAAGGUCAUCGGCAACGAGUUCUUGAGGAGUACACCUUGACUAUGGAUGACGUCUUAUCUUCUUCAUGCACUUUAUUCCUCAUGAUUCUCUUUGUGGGUGGAAGAGUGUUGUAGCCAAUCAGCCCGAGCUCCCCUACGUUCUGAAAAGAUCUUUUCUUAGGGCCGCUGGUCUAUUUUCAGUAAGCCAGCUUGGCAGCUUUAUUCCUGAGCCUUUGCAUUUUGACUGUCAAACACACCACGGCCCACACAACCACGACAACGUGCUUAACACACAAACAAACACCCUCACUUGCAUAUACCCAGUAAUUAACAACCACAUAACACCCAUAAUUAGAAAUGAAAUCAGUGAUUUCAGUUCAAUUUGUCAUCUUCCUUAGCCCAUAAUACAUUCUGACAUCCGAACUCUGCAACCUAACCCAAGUUCAGGAAGUUGAGGCUCACCACAUUUGUUCAAAGGCAUCAUAAGAUCAAACAGCGGCAUGCUUGUAUGAACACACAUGUUAUCUGUAUAUGUGUCGCGGCUUGUGAGAGACCGGAAUGCGGUCACAAGGCUUCCUCUUCCUUUCUGACAUACAGAAACACUAUGAGCUAUCUUACAUAUUCAUCAAACAGAAUCAUGUGAUGCCUGACAUGAAAUGGCUACCGCUUGCCACUCGGGACUGCAAUAAGGCUUUGGCAAGCAGGAAACUGUUGCGCUUCCGUAUGGGCCGCCCAAGACGCUUGACUAUUUCAAGUUUGGAUACAGCGCACUUCAACUCCCAGAACCCCUCACUUCCAGUCUCGUUUAAGCCAGGCCCAGCAACAUAUGACAUCAUAGCACCGCAGCUCUGUGAUUGGCCAGAGGCCCUAAAGGCCUUCAUUAAUCCCUGGAGCCAUGUGGAAUAUGUUUAUGAUGGAUGGAUGUGGAUGGAGACACUUUCUUCAGCUCAUGAUCGUGAACCCUGUUCACUGCCAUUAUAAAGCUUGGAUGUGUCAGGAUAUUUAUUAAUAUAUCUCCGAUUGUGUUCAUCAGAAAGAAGAAAGUCAUAUACACCGAGGAUGGCUUGAGGGUGCUGUAUCAGGAUCAGAUGUCACUCAGGGGGUCUUUUGUUCGACCAGAUGCCUCCGAGACAUGGAAAAGGACUUCCUGGAUGUUAUCAUGGCUGGACUAUCAUAACAGCAGAACCCCUUUCUGGAUCUCAGCCAUCAGCAUACACGUCUCUCUCACACUCUCAUACAUGUAAGUCUGUCCACACACACAGCCAAACCCUCCUGACAUGACUACGCACUCUCUCGGCAGCACGUAAUUGCCCUUUGGCUUUUAAAUCUCAUUGUCUUCCUGUGUUCCCAAGGAGGGACAGCUGGUGACAAUGGACUAGGGAGAGAAAGAUAAAGAGAGGGGGUUGGUGUAAAAGAGGGGUACAGACUUUCCUCCACUCAAUGCGAUCUGUCUCACUCUGUUGCGGUUUGCAGACUUAACCAGAUAACCAGUUAUUAUUUGUGUGACACUCAGCCACAGACACCUGUCUCUGAUGAGACAUCUGUCUCUCAUGUCAUCUGGUCUCUAACUAUGAGUAAAUGAGUUUCUGCCUUCGGCUCUUUGAGGGAGUGAGACUCUGCCGUAGCACUGGAACUGUUAGCAUGAGGCGUCCUCGAAAAUUACAAGGAAGGAAAGGAGAUGAUUAAAGAAGAGGGACAGGUCGAAGAACUAAUGACCGCCUAAGGCCAGGAUGUUGUGGAAGUUGUGAACGUUGAAUGCAUCCAUCACCUCCUUUAACAGUAGGACAAACACAUUUAGGUGGCGACUUUUAAUCAGCGAUUGAGGCUAGGAAUGGUGACGCACUUGUUUUUAAUGGUAUAGCUGGUGAGAAGCUCAAAACGGAAGCUUUUAUCACUGAAACACAGUGGCAGGAAUCACACCUACACCGCUGACACAAUCAUUAUGUUCCAAAACCUAAUAAGCUGCCUAAUGAGACGGCAAUUUAAGGCAUCAUAAUACUUGAAGUCUGUUCCAAAAAAAUCAUUAGUUCGAUGCAUAUUGUUAACUUGACAAUGCAAUACUUUAAAAAGCAGAAAAAAGUGUGCAGUUUUUAUGCUUAUUAAAGUGUUGUGUUGUUAGCUUAGCAACAUGCUAACUGCAAUCUCUUACGUGAUACUUUAAUGAGCCUAAAAAUACAUAUUUGUGUGCUAUGUUAAGUUUAUUAAAGUAUUGUGUUGUUAGCAACAUGCUAAUUACAACUUCUUAUUAUACUUUAAUAAGCCUAAAUGUACAUAUAUAAUUUGUGUGUGCUUUUAUGCUUAUUAAAGUAUCACUUUGCUAGCUUAGUAACAUGUUAACUACAAAAUCAUACGUGGUACACUAAUAAACCUAAAUAUAUAGCAUAUUAGAGUAUUACAUUGUUAGCUUAGCAACAUAAUAAUAAUAAAUUCUAUUGGAAACAAUUGAGAGUCACAUUAUUAAAGUGCACAGUCUAAAUAAUUAUUAAAGCAUUGUGUUUUUAGCUUAGCAACAUGCUAACUACAAACUUUAUGUGAAACUUUAAUAAACCUAAAAAGACAUUAAAUAUUUGUGUGCUGUUUUUAUGCCUAAAAGUAUCUUGUUGUUCACUUAGCAACAUGUUAACUACAAAAUAGUAUGUGAUAUUUUAAUAAGCCUAAAAAUACAUAGCAUAUUAGAGUAUCACAUUGUUAUCUUAGCAACAUACUACCAGCAAACUCUAUCAGAAUGAAUUGAGAGUCCCAUUUAUUAAGGUGCACAGGGUUGCUGCCUAUGUAGAGGUAUAAAAAUCAGCCAUUAAUGAGGGAGUCAUGUAGGGAGUAAACAGUGAGAAAGCUCUCUAAGUUUUGGAACAGAACUAAUAUUAAACUGAAGUCGUAGAUGAUGUAGUUCCUGUCAACUGACAGCUGUCUCUCUCUCUCUCUCUCUCUCUCUCUCUCUCUCUCUCUCUCUCUCUCUUUCUACCACAGAGUGGUUGUCUGUUUCCAUAAUCUUGCUGACUGUUUUUCUGUUUGUUUCUUUGUUGAUUUCUGCAUUUGAAUGCCCUCGCAGUCUGAUGUCACUCCAUGUGUUGCAAUUGUUAGCUGGUUUUAUUAGUUUUGGGUGUUUAAAUGUAAUCUUCAGGUCUGACUCAGCUGCUCUAUCAUGUGAUAGAGUCUACUGGUGAAUCAUUGAGCUUACAUGUGUUUAACAACUGGUAGUUUUUCCGGAAGUCAACCACAAGAAAAUGCAUACUCAUGCAAACUGCAGUCAGAAUCUAGGGCACUGUUUUUAUUGUGUUAGUGAUGUUUGCUGAGGCAAGCAUCAUUACUAUUGUUCAUACUUAGGGUUUGGGUUUUUUCAGUAUUACACUUUGGUGCAUGACUCGUCUCACGCCAUUUGUUCCACAAACAUGAAUGAUUUGUCAAAUUGUGUGGCUUUAGUAUGCAGUGUGCAUGUGUAUGCAUUUUUAUUACAUUCCCAAGUGAAUGAUCGUACAAGUUUUGCCUGAAUAUCAGAGACUUGAUUUGAGUAUUUGGAUUAUUUGUGCUUGUUGAUUCUAGAACAAGAAAAUCACUGUGAAAGCUUAUCAAAGACUCAAGACUUCAAGCUUCAGGUUGAACCAAAAACUGAGGACAUAAGAAAAAGAUUCACAAAACAUUAGUACCACCCAAAGGGUUACAUCAUUCAAAUGAUUAGUUGACAGAGCAGUUGACAAACCCUGACCAUUGAAAGAAAAACACUAAUGUUCCCAGGUCUUAAAUUUGCUCUGACAGAUGAAGCAAAGCCUGUCUCCUUUAGUAUGAUGGCUGUUGAUUGUGAUUCUAAGAGAGACCCCCAGUCUGAAUGAAAUGGCCAUUAUUCACAUUCGCAUGGAUCAGAGGCCAGCAUCGCCCCAGAGCAACAACAACCUCAUCAUUCGUUGCCCUGAACCCGCCUACAGCUCAUCUCCCUGACAUUUUAAACACCCUAAUUUAAUGCCCCCCUCUCACAAGGACAUUUUUGUCCCCCAGCCCAUAGUCACCUACAUCCAAAACCUUCAUUCUUUACAUCACGCCAUUGGGAUGAAAAAAAGCUGUCAUUGAUAGUUUGACAUCACUUUUGACAAAGUCGCAUGCUUCACUCUGCUUACGCGGCAGUCAAAUUCUUGCACUGUCAUUUACAUGGACAUGGCUUCAGACAGACGCACACACGCAUAUUCCUUCACCUGCCUGGUUAAUGCCACCAGUCCUGGAGUUUAAUCCCAAAAUCAAUCUCCUCUCCAGGGCUUCCGCUUGCUUCACCGUGGCCUUGACAGCCAAUAAGAGCCAGAAGAGAGAUAGAGAGCGAGAGAGAUCAUCCGUCUGUAAAGUAGGUCUUCCAUUCAACCCAGCUCACCCUUAUUCUUCCCAUUCAUGGCGUUAGGGAUGGUUGUUUAGGCCAGACAAUGCUUGGUGGUUUGCUGGGAUCUAAAAGGCCCGUGCAGACUCAGGCAGAGGUCUGUCGUCUGGGCCAGAUUGAAGAGAGACGCUGGGGCACCUCUUGCUGAGGAACAUCUGGACGUCAUGCGCAUCUAUUCACUCACUUAACAGUAGAAUAGAGAUUUCACGAGUAUUGUGGAGAUCUCUUCAGUGAGAGGACAUGAACUCAGAAGCUUAAAGAUUUACAUGCUUUUGUAUGUCUGAGUUUGAAGGUUAAUGCAAAUUUAAGAUGGCGCCAUGUAAACUUCGGAUUAUCUGGCUGUAAGUUUCUUCAGGGACACCGAGUCUUUCAAGGUUUAGGUGCAAUAUUAAAACCAACUAGAAAAAAAACAAUACUUACAAAUCUUAAAUGAGUGAUUGUUAGUAUCUGAGUUAGCCUAUUUCUGGCUUUUGCUUUAAGAUAUUAUAAUGGACAUCAAGUAGCCAACCAAAAAUUGGUCCAACAUACAAAUUUAGUUAAAAUUUUUAUCAUAAAAUGAGUCAGACAUUAAUGUAAUGUAUUAAUAGUGUGGUUUCAAAACUCCUGAAAAUAUGCAAGAAUUGUACAUUUAGGGGUACAACAGCUGGGACAGAACCUCUAAAGGGACAUUUUUGUACCUUAUUUACCUCUAAAAGUUUCAUAGUAGUACCUUAAAGAUACAUAUUACAACUCUAAGGUAAUAAUAAGCACAUUUAAGAGGUAGAUAAGGUACAAAGUUGUCCUUUUAAGAAUACUGCCCCAGUGACAAGCUGUUGUAGCCCUAGAGGUAAAGGUUUUGCAAUUUUUUUCCGACAUUAAAUAGUGGUCAUGACAACCUGUCCAUGUUGGUAAAAUGAAUUUGAGUCAAAUAUGGCAGAGUUUGAUUGGACAUACAGCCUUUGAAAUCAACAACAAAAGAAUCAUUUUCUCUGCCGCUUUAAAAGUGGGUUAAAAUUUAUAAGCAGGAUAACACAAUUAUUUGCAUAAGCAUUGUUUUUCCCUGUCCUCGACCUCUUUUUCGGGUUGCAACCUUCCAGUUCUGUCAUAGACAGCAAUGAGAUUAAAAGGAGAGAAAAUGGACAUUUGCUCUCCUGCGUCUCUGAUUUUAUCCCCCCAGCAAUCUCACAUAUUUAACCUCUAGAGUUUCAAAAAAUGUCUCAAAGAUUUCUACCAAAUGUUUCUACCAAUAUACCAAAGUCAACCAAAUUUCAGAGAUAUGAUUUCAGGGACGUUUUUUAAUCAAAUUCUUCUAAUACCAAAUGAUCUGAAAUAUGCUAUGCACAAUGAUGACUCUGAACAUGUACUGUAUGUCAAUAAUUGUCUAAUUUGUGUCUAUUUUCAUUUCUCUCAAGAAACUGCAAAAGAACCAUCUUGGACAAAGUCUCCUGGAAACUUCAUAUCAUAUCACAAAGGCUUAAAAAAAAAACUCUAUAAACACAAUAAAUAUAAUCUGGGUGACCAAUUCCAUUGCUGCUAUCUCUGUCUCGCACAUCCACUGUCAUAUUGUCCCAAGAGAAUGGAGGGGGUGGGAAAAAAGUUGAUAUUUCAUACAGAAAGAAUCAGCACAGCUGUGUGGGCUGAGGAUAGUUUCUGCUGAAGAGCGAUUAGUUCCUUUAAGUCUGUAUUGAGCUGAUGUUUUACUGCUCAGUAAGUCAAGUUUCUUCAUUGCAGUUGGAAUUACAGACCCCUGCCCCCUUCCUCAAAGCUGAUUGUGUGUUUAUGCAGGGGGUGGUGGAGCCUCAUCCUCUGCCCCAGACAAUGGGUGCAGAUGGCCUUCAGGGUGGGGUGAAUGUGGGGUGGGUAAAGACAGACAUCUGCAAGGAGGAGUGAGAGAGAGUGCGACAUUUCAUUUUGGAAAGCUAACUGUGUAUUUUGGGGAGGUGGAAUUACCCAAAACUAGUUAAGGAGACAGACAGUACUGUAACUAUUAACCAGGAAGUAUAUUCAAACAGAUAUGAGAGACCCUGUUGAGGGCCUAAAAUGUUCCAAAUAAAACCAGGACUGUUUUACAGUCAUUUACUCACCCUCAUGUCAUUCCAAAUUAGUAUGGUUUACAUGGACACCUUUUGUUGGACACCUUGUGAUUUAUUCAUACAAUCCGAACAUAGUGUUUACAUGAACACUAAAUAAAGUGAUUGUGUUGAUGUGUGCAUUUAUAUGUCACAAGCUUCAAAUUUUAUGACAUACAUCCAAUUACAAUUGGAUUAUUAGGGUCCAUAGGGUCUUUCGCAUUGAAUAGUUCUAGGAACUCAGUUAUAGGAACUAGCCACUAGGAUAGUUCCCUGAGAACUAAUUUCUCACUCGGGCCAUGUUCCUGGUUGCAUUCGCACCGGCAAUAGGACCUCUGAAGCGGCCGACAGCGGCAUCUUUAAACGCUGCAUUUACAAGCGCUAAAAAACAGUAAAUGGAGGAUGUCGUGAUCGGAGCUGUGUUUGUUGUGUGUCGUGGGUUUCGUGAUAACAGAGAUGGAAUAUAAACGCAUAAUUUACGCAACUGAAAGAGCAAAAAGUGGGGCUAAGAGACGAAAUCUCCCAUGACAACUUUCAGUAUUACAAAUCAUCGAGGCAGAGAAAAGAACAUAACCCUGCAGACAGCAGGUAAAUGCCGUUAUCGCUGUUUUCCAAGUUUGUGAAGUAAAUAUGUUUACACAGCUUUUAAUAAAUGCCGGGUGCCAGUGUUUGACAUGCAUUUGACCAAUCAACGUACACUUACGUCACUGAUAGUUCCCAUAGUGCUGGUUUAGACCCUACUCUGAAGUAGGAGCUAAUAUAGUUCCCCCAAAAGGAGUUCCUAGAACUAAAAUCGUUCCUAUUUCCUGCAGUGCAAACACGGCAAAAUCAGACACUCGCAAAAUCCGGGAACUUCAGCCAAUAGUAGGAACUAUGAAAAGGUUCUUCCUUUUUUCAUUAUCUCUGGCAUAUCUGUGCCUUCUAUAAUCUCAGUCUUGAACAGUUUGGGUUGUUUUUGUUAAAUCAGAGACCAUGUGUCCUUGGGGAAAUGACAACUCUCGGCCCUUGCUGCAAGUGGGUUAGUGUUGUAUGGGGUGCAAGGCUGAUAUCCACUGCCAAGAAGAGCCAUCUCAUCCUAAGGUCUUACAUCACAUCUAUCCUGCAAACAAACAACUAGGACUUGACCAUUAUAAUCGGCAAAACUGAGGACUUGCUGACAGAUUUGUUUAUAAAGGGAGUUUUCCAGUUUAGACACGUCAUGUCACCCACUUGUCAAUUCAUGUCACUUUAUAGAUGCUUUAGUUGGAUGCCAAUGUGGACAAGUUGUGUUACCAGUCUUCAUCUUUGAAAAUUGUGAACAAAACAACAAAAGGUUUGUUGAAGGCCCAAGAUGGUCUACCAUCUCUUCACCAGCUUGGACCAGCAAGAAACCAACCACCAGGUCAUCAUAUCAGGUGGUUAUGUUUACAAAACAUGGAAACUGGUUGACCAACUAAAGACCAGCUUGGUCCAGCUAAUGACCAACAUGGACCUGCAACAUGGACCAUUACAAAAGACAGCUGGCUGCAUACAUUGUUGGGUUGCUUCUUGAUAUCCAGUGUAAAAUCUGGCUCCUGUAGUAAAACCAUUUAAGAACCACUGAUCUAGUGACACAAAUACCCAGGUACAGUUCCUAAGAAUCCAUAGAGCUCAGAACACGUUAUAUAGCAGAGUCGGGUUACUGAUCAAUGGUUGUUUUUUUUCCCUUUGAGAAACACAAUGGCAUCAGUGUGACCUACUGCUCGAUAUACUUGCCCUGAGACUGAUGCAUUACAUGCACACAAUGGGCUUAUCUCACAAGGAGGCCAGUGUGUGCGCGUUAUGACACAGGGUCGUCCUGGAUUAGACGGCCGAUUGGUCCUCGUUGUGCACGCUAAGAUAUCCUGAGAGUUUGCAGGACAGGGCGGCUCUCACAGUAUUGCAUUACAGGAAAGAGAGAACCAACAGGUACAAAAUGAACCUAAAUAUGAUCUCAUGCUUUUCCCUUCCCUCUUUUUCUCUUCACUCCCCUCCCUCCAUUCUUGGCAGCCAGCCGUCACACGGGAGACACAUUGCGUGACUCCCUCCUUUUAUUUUCCCUGUUGCAUUCUCUUUGUUCCUAAACUAUCCCGGCUGGUAAAGGGAGGAAGAGAUACAGCCGGAUAUUGGCAGUGUUGUUUCGGUGCCUUAAUCCCUUUUUAAUAUCAGAUUUAGGAAGGAGUCAGAGAGGGACUGCUGAAGACGGAGCAAGAUCCCAGUGCCGAGUUGGCCUCCUAGAGUCUUGCUGCAAAGUCAUUCUGUAUAAACACAAUCCCCUUCAGAUACUCAUAGCGGCCUGUCCUCAUUUAGAGGGCUGAUGGGAACGUGUUUAUCAUCGUAUUGCUGACAUGGCUUUGGAUCUGUUUGGCUUCAAUUCAAGAAGCUUCUGUUCUCUCUGAAACAGACUCGGAUUGAGGCCAGUUACAGUCUGACUGGUGCUAAUUUUAGUCUUGGCUUAAGUGGAAUUGCAGUGUAAUGUAUUUGGACUUGCACGCUUUACUUCUAAUUAUAAAACAAAGCUGUUGUAAAAUAGAUGUUAUAAUCGUUUUAUAAUUCUAGUUCUGGCUUCUGUUUGGUCAAUACAACGUCCCAGUCAUGCUAAAACCUACCGAACGCCAUACAGUUUUGCAGCCUUUAGUUCAUGUCUGUUAGCAUUGAAAUCCUCUAAAUGCUAAUGUACUUCAAAAAGAUUACAAAAUUAACAUUUAGAUAUGCAAAAAUAUUUGUUUGCAGUGGCAUGUAUACAAACUUAUAAUGCUCUCUAGAAUGAAAACAACCCUCCUCUGACAGCACGUGCCACUGACUGGAAUUAGCAAGAAGCAAAUCAUGGUUUCGCCGGUGUCAUCAAGACCUUCCUCAUCAAAACCCAGGUGAAAAAAUACUACAGUAAUUUAUAGUAAAUACUAUAGUGUUUUUGAACCAUACUAUAGUAAAUUGUAGUAUACUGGAUAUAUUAUGGUAUUUACAACACUUGUUAAUGAAUGCUACAGAACACUGUAUAGUGAACUGUUAAAAUGUAAUAAAUACUGUAGUAUACUUUAGUUUUUACUACAAUAAACUGUAGUGUAUAUUGUAGUAUAAUAUACCCUAUAGUUAUAGAAAACUUAGUACAGUAUUGGGUAAAGUAAUUUGUUUAUAUUAAUAUAGUUGUUAUGUUACCACAGCAACUAUAGAAUUACCACAACAAAUUAAUUCAAGUACUUUACUAUAGUAUGGUUCAAAAACACUAUUAUUUACUAUAAAUUACUAUAGUAUUUUUUCACCUGGGAAGUUUUACCAUGUAUUUAAUCAAUCAUGAUAAAAUGUUAAUAUAUUUUAAAGUACAUAUCACUUAAUUUCACAGAAAGACAUUUCAUUUCUUUGUGUUUUCAGUGAGCAAGCUAACAGCCUAGCCUACUAGCUUAGCAUAACACUAACAGGUUUUAAAAAGCUCAAUUAGCUAGAACGAGAUAUGUUAACAUGCUAAAUUUUUAAGGAAUGUGGUAUAGCACUGGGCUACAAACCGAAACCUAUUGGUUUUUCUACAAGUUUGUAAACAGCCUAUGUUUCUGCUUUCUUGCUGCAGAGUCAUAGCAACAGGUACAGUCUCAGGACACCGGUUUCAAUGGGACAUUUUAUUAAAGUGGUCUUUAAAAGUAGCUGAAAUGCACCUACUUUCACAUGGAGACCUUGAGAGUUUAAGGGUCUGUAAGUGUUAUAAGUCACACCCACGCACAUCCAUCUCUGUCACUUAAGAAACCUGACCCUCUGCACAGGUCAACACGGUAGAGGGACGCACGGGAGACAAUGUGCAGAGCGCAAGGGCUGAUCCUGAUUAACCCUCUCUGACCUACACUGUCAUCCUACACUGUGUGUGUGAGAAAGAGAGAGUGUGAGCCAGGUCACCAUGUGCUAUUGUGGGUAGGCCGAUGCUUAGGGAUUGUGUCUAUGUGUGUGUGUGAGGACCUGCAGUGCCAUGGUCUCCAUUAAAGGCAUUGUCCCUUAGUUGGGACAUCCUCCUACCUCCCUCCACGGUGACCCCGCUGACCUCUUUUCAAGCUUGGAUGGGGUCUGCCUCUCUCUUCCCCUGGCACAGGGAUGGGAUGAUUUCUUCCUUGAAAGUAGUUGGGGGGACUCCAAUACACCAUCUGCUCCAGAUGUCUUGCCCAUUGGACACCAGUUCACAGUAGUUACUCGUUACCCAAAGAAAUUAUACCAACAGAAUAUCAUACCAAUAAAGACAAAUGAUCUGUAUAAUAUAUAUUACACACACAUAUUUACUUCACUAAAUAUACAUUAUAAUUUAUAUAUAAAACCGCAUAUUUUGCAUAUCUUAAUAAUAUAUAAAAAUAUACAAAUUUUAGUUAUAUUUAUAUUUUGGAAUAUAUAUAUAUAUAUAUA